AUUGAACGCUGGCGGCAUGCCUUACACAUGCAAGUCGAACGGCAGCGCGGGAGCAAUCCUGGCGGCGAGUGGCGAACGGGUGAGUAAUAUAUCGGAACGUGCCCAGUAGUGGGGGAUAGCCCGGCGAAAGCCGGAUUAAUACCGCAUACGACCUACGGGUGAAAGGGGGGGAUCGCAAGACCUCUCGCUAUUGGAGCGGCCGAUAUCAGAUUAGGUAGGUGGUGGGGUAAAGGCCUACCAAGCCUGCGAUCUGUAGUUGGUCUGAGAGGACGACCAGCCACGCUGGGACUGAGACACGGCCCAGACUACUACGGGAGGCAGAAGUGGGGAAUUUUGGACAAUGGGCGCAAGCCUGAUCCAGCAAUGCCGCGUGCAGGAAGAAGGCCUUCGGGUUGUAAACUGCUUUUGUCAGGGAAGAAAUCCUCUGGGUUAAUACCUCGGGGGGAUGACGGUACCUGAAGAAUAAGCACCGGCUAACUACGUGCCAGCAGCCGCCGUAACAC
rnacentral:rRNA from 1 species